AGUGAACGCUGGCGGCAGGCUUAACACAUGCAAGUCGAGCGGAGAUGAGGUGCUUGCACCUUAUCUUAGCGGCGGACGGGUGAGUAAUGCUUAGGAAUCUACCUAUUAGUGGGGGACAACAUUCCGAAAGGAAUGCUAAUACCGCAUACGCCCUACGGGGGAAAGCAGGGGAUCUUCGGACCUUGCGCUAAUAGAUGAGCCUAAGUCGGAUUAGCUAGUUGGUGGGGUAAAGGCCUACCAAGGCGACGAUCUGUAGCGGGUCUGAGAGGAUGAUCCGCCACAAUGGGACUGGGACACGGACCAGACUCCUACGGGGGGCAGCAGUGGGGAAUAUUGGACAAUGGGCGGAAGCCUGAUCCAGCCAUGCCGCGUGUGUGAAGAAGGCCUUUUGGUUGUAAAGCACUUUAAGCGAGGAGGAGGCUACCUGGAUUAAUACUCUAGGAUAGUGGACGUUACUCGCAGAAUAAGCACCGGCUAACUCUGUGCCAGCCGCUGCAGUAAUAC
rnacentral:rRNA from 1 species